UGGGGAAUAUUGCACAAUGGGCGCAAGCCUGAUGCAGCAACGCCGCGUGAACGAUGAAGGUCUUCGGAUCGUAAAGUUCUGUUGCAGGGGAAGAUAAUGACGGUACCCUGUGAGGAAGCCCCGGCUAACUACGUGCCAGCAGCCGCGGUAAUACGUAGGGGGCUAGCGUUAUCCGGAUUUACUGGGCGUAAAGGGUGCGUAGGUGGUCUUUCAAGUCGGUGGUUAAAGGCUACGGCUCAACCGUAGUUAGCCUCCGAAACUGGAAGACUUGAGUGCAGGAGAGGAAAGUGGAAUUCCCAGUGUAGCGGUGAAAUGCGUAGAUAUUGGGAGGAACACCAGUAGCGAAGGCGGCUUUCUGGACUGCAACUGACACUGAGGCGCGAAAGCGUGGGGAGCAAACAGG
rnacentral:rRNA from 1 species